UGGUUCUCAGGCCUUUGGACUCAGAUGGGACUGUACCCUCAGCUCUCCUGGGUCUCCAGCUUGCUGACUGCAGAUCUUGGAACUUCUUUGCCUCCAUAAUCACACAAGCCAAUUCCUUGUAAUACAUCUCUAUCUAUCUAUGUCCCCUAUGGUUAAGUUUCCUGGGGAAUCCUGCAGGAUACACCCCCUUCCUCUCCCUCAGCACAGAGUUGUUCUGUGUAUUUGGAUAAGCCUCCACAGCUUCCCUCAGGACAGGGCAUCCAUCACCAUCUCCCACCCGGACAGCAGCAAACACUGCCCCUGUGGCUUCCUGGUGCCAUCCUUGGCUCCUUCCCGUCCAUUCUCCAGCGGCUGCCAGAGUGAGCUUGAAGAACCUGUGACAUGUCCUUCAGACGUUCUACUUCCUGUUCCAGAAGGACAGCCCCUCAUACUUUCCCGCGGGCCACACGCCACCCCUUCCUCAGCGCCCCAGGCUGGCAUCCUCUCCCUGCAUUCAGCCUUCUUUUCCGAGGUAGCGCUGAUACCAGAUGUCGCUAAAUAGCAACGUGCAGAACUGUUCAGUUUCUCUCUAGUAGAGGAGAUCAUAAGCCUCAUGAGAUCCCAGAGUCUCUGUCUUCUUUAGUACCCCCCAGCACCCACCCCAGGGCAGGGCCACACAGAGUUGUGGAGUGCCCAAGUGGUGGAUGAACAUGGAAUGCAAAGGCUGAGGGUGCAUUGACCAGGAGCACGGGGGGCAGCAACUUGUGGAACAGCCGCAGCACCGAUGAAGUGGCCAGGCUCCUAGGGAAGCCUGACUAGGGAGCUGGAGGGAGGCCCGGGGAUGGCGGGAGAGAGGGAGAGGGUGUGUGUGGUCAUGGCCUGGGAGGCCAGCAGACCAGAGCUGGGAGAGCUUUGCACAUCUCUCUGGAGCUUGGUCCAUCCUGGAAGCCAUGGGGAGCAAGGAUUGAAACUGGGAGCGGGCUCUGGCUGUUGGAGGUAAAGCUGCUGGUGCCACUGAGCCUUAACACUCAGGAAAGUGGUCCUGGCUGGAAGGUCAGGGAGCCAACGGAAGCCAGUGCCUGAUCCGGGUUGGGUUUUCUCAACUGUCCCCCAGGAAGCGGCUGCAUCGGGAAUGAGGGCACAGAAGCUGGCUAGGAUGGCUUCUCAUUCCAGUAGGGCCUCUCAGGAGCCCUGACAGCCAGCCUCUUGGUCUGACUAAUUCAGAAGAAUAUUCUUGUUUUACAGGAGUGGGGCAAGCUUUCCUUAUCUUAGAGGUCAGCAGUGGGGAUGCACUGUUUUAUUUAUAGAAUCAAUAUGUUUUCACAGCAACAAGAAUGACUUGAAUCCUGCCAGCAUGUUGGCAUUGUUUGUGCAAAGGUACGUCUGUCUGUCGGCAUUUUAGGUGAUCCAGCUUCCUCUCCAAAUCCCUGCCUCCCACCUCAAAACACAUUGCAAGCUCCACGGAGCAAGUGUCUUUUCGUUAGUGGAGGCGCUGGCCUGACAGGGCUGAGGCGGAACACACAGCCAGUGCCUUGGGCCAGCGUCAGCCUUGGCUCUGGGGGCUGUAUUUCCAGCUGACUCUUGGCUGGCCAGGAGGGGAGUGAGCCAGGUGCUGGAGGCUAUGAAGAGGAAGCUGUGUUCAGAGAGGUUCAGCUGUUGCCCACUCAAGCAGCCCUGAACAAACACCCUUUUCUGACCUCCAGCUGCUAGUAAGAAAGUGCAGGGAGGACAGAACAAAAGCUGAGGUUGGACCGUUUCUUCCCCCACAGCUCUGCAGUCCCUUCCCUUUUGGGGAAUGUGGGCCCUGCCCACUUACCGCCCACUUACCUAAGUCCCACUGCCACUCCACUGCCUGCACAAAAGCAGGUGAGAAGCUCCUCCCCCCAAAGAGCCUUCCCCCAGGCCCUGCUGAGGUGACCCCCCCACACCUUCACCUCCCAGGACACAGACUGCUUGGAUCAUGGAUUCCCAGUGUUUUGGAAUGAGGGUCCUUUGUAAUGUCAACACUUCUUAAAGAUUCAAGGGAUCGGUUGGUAUUUGUUAGUUGAGAAAAUAACUAUUGUCAAGUAGGUGUUAUAAAUAAAUUAUUGACCCUUUUAAGGCAAUUGGGGUUUGCUAGUCUCAAUAGCACCUACAUAUUUAUUGCAAAACAGUCCAUCAAUUUGUUCAGAUUUCAGACAAUGCUUGUUGGACACCUGAGUUCCUAGACACCUUGUUGUAAUUCUGUGCUUUCUCACCCCCGGUCUGUGGCUCCCCCAAGAUGGGGAUUACUGAAGUGACUGAAUGAUGCAUUAUGGUCCUGAAUUCAGUGCUGGGUGAACAUGUCUUGUCUUCCCAGGGAGUUUAAAAGGCCUCUUGGAGGGCUGGGACGAUGGCUGGUGGCCCCAUGCCUUGUGCGGAAGUGGACACGAGGCAGGCAUAUUGCUACCGAUGACCCCACAGCAGAACCAGAGGGGUUUUAUCCCAGAGGCUGUUUUAGGACAGACAAAUCUGCAAUGAAAGCUACACUGUAAUCACACGAGAAGAAACUGUCACUCAAGAGGCCAAGGUGGUGGCACAAUAAGGCCGUUUAUUCAAAGGUGUCAUCUUGCUGGAGGGCAGAAGGAUUCCUUGGAGCCUGGGGGCCAGCAGGACAGAGGAAACAAAGUACAUGGCCGAUGAUGUCUUUCGACCACAGAAAGGGCUGGAAGAAGCAGGGGACCCACUGUUUGAAUAAACCCAGUGGAAAAACAGAAGCCCCAUUUCAUACUUGACUCAGCUCUUCAAGUUUAAAUCUUGAAUCUCCUCAACUACACGGAACAGUGUUUCUCCCAAGUCAUCUGACACCCACUCUGUUCUCUGGAUCAUUCCUUCCUAGAGAACCUUGCUCUUGGAGGGCUGUGAUCUGCUCUCACCCACUUGCCUUUCUGAUCCACUGAGUGCAUCUCAACAGUCAUUUGGGGCGUUCUGAUCACUCAUGACCAGGAAGGGUUGGGUGGUUCGUGGAACUUGGGAAGCACUCUCACUGUGGUGGUCCCUAUCGGUGGUCAUGGGGUUGCCACAUUGAGCCACGUUUCUGCCCUCAUCUCUCUAUAUGUUACCGUGGAAUCUCUGACUGAGGACCCAUGGACUCACCCAAUGUGAUAAAGUCCUGAAGCCCAGCCAGGACUUCCGACCCCAGCUGCAGGGCUUUCCGAUAUACAGACGCAUAGAACUUGAGAGGAAAUCGACUUAGAAACCUGAAGCUGGAAAACUGGUUGCCUGACAUUCUGUGCAAGGCUGAAUAUCUGAGGAACGAGGGCUGUGUAACUUUGGGAACAUGUCUUUUCCGGCCUAUGUAGACCCCAGGAAACUUUGCAGUUCUUCCCCAAGUAUGGAUGGAGUCAAACUUGAUGUCCUUUCAUCCCCCCAUCCCAUCCCCUAAUCUAUAUCCUUUGGAAAUUUUAGAGUGCCAGGCCUCACAUAAAUACACUGAAAACAAUUUAAGUCA